GGGGGGGGGGGUCCCUCCGCCCGCCGAGGAGCCCCCAAAAACCACACGGUGCCCGCAGCACGUAUCGGGAUUAACCCGGUACUCCGGGGACACGCGGGGGGCCGGGGCCGGACCGCUCCAGCCCCGGUCGGAAGGAGUGUUUUAAAGCCACCGACGACCAACGAGAUGAAGCGUUUUCCCUGCAGAUAUCCUCACUCCAGCUCCGAGACCCUCUGGCAUCACUUCCCCACCCGCCAGCAAGGACGGCGGCUUCGCCCAUCAGUUUAAGCUUAAAAAAAAAAAAAAAGAAAAGAAAAAGAAAAAUAUUAUUAUUUUUGUCCCUCCUUAUCCCGAAGUAACAAUUAAAGAAAGCGAGGACCUUUGCCUUCUACUGGGA